rnacentral:rRNA from 1 species
GACGAACCGUCCGAACGUUAUUCGGAAUCACUGGGCUUAAAGGGUGCGUAGGCGGCGCGGAAAGUUGGGUGUGAAAUCCCUCGGCUCAACCGAGGAACUGCGCCCAAAACUACCGUGCUCGAGGGAGAUAGAGGUGAGCGGAACUUAGGGUGGAGCGGUGAAAUGCGUUGAUAUCCUAAGGAACACCGGUGGCGAAAGCGGCUCACUGGCUCAUUACUGACGCUCAGGCGCGAUAGCGUGGGGGAUCAAACAGG